GGGGCAGUGCUUCAGUGGCAGAACAUCUGCUUUGCAUGCUGAAGGUCCUGGGUUCAAAUUCUAACAUUUCCA
rnacentral:tRNA from 1 species